rfam:Serendipita vermifera MAFF 305830 unplaced genomic scaffold scaffold_217, whole genome shotgun sequence.
UUAAUUGAGAGCUUAAUUUUGACUCUGAUUUAGUUUUUUGCUUUUAAGAUAAGGCAUGCGAAUUUUUUUAAACAAAUGUUUAAAAAGUGUAGGGGUGAGUAAAAUUAGCAAAUAUGUACCUUUAAGUUCUUUGAAAUAAGGAAUAAAAAAUUUUAAUUUCUUUUGUUAAUUUUAAAUUUUUAAUUAUAUUCUAUAUUUAUUAUAGAAUAUUUAAUUUUUAAAUAUGAUUUUUGUUAUUAUAAUUUAAAAAGGAAAUUUUCCGCUUUUAGAUCAUUGCUAAACCGAUUAGGUAGUUGGUAAAAUAAAUAGGGGUAACGGCCCACCAAGCCUACGAUCGGUAGUCACAUUUGAGAAAAUUGUUGACCACAGUGGGAAUGAAAUAUCCCUCGUUGUUUCGACCAGCAGCCGCGAAUAUUUGUCAAUGCUCGAAAGAGUGAACGAGUUAAAAAGUAUCUAUCCAAUAGAGAAUUUAAAUAUUAAUUAUGAUAUAAUUAAAUUUUGAGUGCCGACCAACACCUGUGCCAGAAGUCUCGGUAAUACAGGAGGCGCUAAACUAGUCUACAUAAUCAGGCUUAAAGCGUAAUUAGACAGACUCUUAAGAGAGUAUAGAAUCUAAAAAUAGGAAAAUAUAAUGUUCAGUGUAGUGUCGACAUACUUUGAUACUGAAUGGAAUACUAAAUGCGAAGGCAGUUUUCCAAUAUAGAUCCACGUUGACUUACGAGGGCGGAGGUAGAAAAGCAGAUUAGAACCUGCGUAUUCUCCGCUGUAAACGAUGAAUGGUCGUUUUGAUUUAAGAAUCAUUUCGACGCGAAAGCUUUAACCAUUCCGCCUUGCGAGUACACUUGCAAAAGUGAAAUCAAAAAAAAUAGUCGGUUUCGAAGCAAACGGAGUGGCGCAUGUUGUUUAAUUCGAUUGUCCGCGAAAAAUCUUACCAUAACUUGCAUAAGUUUGAAACUAAAUUUAAGUUUACUUUUUUUUUAUAUUAGGUUUACUAUUAAAUUUAGGUUUAUUAUUCAAACUAACAGGUGCUGCAUGGCUGUCGUCAGUUCAUACCGUAAGGGUUUAGGUUAAUUCCACAAAUGAACGCGAUCCUCGUUGUUAAUUUAAACUUAACACUGUCAUUAUAAUGAUGACUUGAUAGGGGGCAAAGACAAGCCUUUAUGACCCUAAUGUUAUGGGCUACAAACGUGCAACAAAAAUUUUUACAAAGUGAAGCAAUACCGUGAGGAGGAGCUAAUCAUUAAAAAAAAUUAUAGACGAAUUGAAUGUCUGAAACUUGACUUCAUGAAGUAGGAAUUCCGAGUAAUCGUUGAUCAUAAGACGCAACGGUGAAGUUUUAAUUCGUAAUGAACUAAUUGUCUGUCGCUGGGAAGAAUCUUAUUUUGGUGGAAGAUAACAAAAUUAUUUAAAUUAUUUAAUUUAAUAUUAUCAAUUUACUUAGAUAAUUAUUACUAAGUAUUUAUUUAAUAAUGUCGAUUCAAGCCAUUUGAGUAACAUCUCAAAAGUCAUAGCAGAGUAGUCCGGCUAGAAAGUCGGGCUGAAUUAUAAUACAC